rnacentral:rRNA from 1 species
UACGUAGGGUCCAAGCGUUAAUCGGAAUUACUGGGCGUAAAGCGUGCGCAGGCGGUUGUGCAAGACCGAUGUGAAAUCCCCGAGCUUAACUUGGGAAUUGCAUUGGUGACUGCACGGCUAGAGUGUGUCAGAGGGGGGUAGAAUUCCACGUGUGAGCAGUGAAAUGCGUAGAGAUGUGGAGGAAUACCGAUGGCGAAGGCAGCCCCCUGGGAUAACAC